AGUUGCUAGUCCAAUUUAGUCCCCUACGAAGUCCUUUAAUUGUAUGACAUAACACACCACAUGGUGCUGAUAAUGGAAAAAUCAUCACAACAAGAUACGAAAUGCUACCAAUAAAUAUCUUGUCUUAGACAUAAUGGUCGAAUCUCAUGUACUAUUCUUAAGAUUAGUAUAUAUUAACUCUUGCAUCUAAAAAAGAAAAGCAGUCUCAUGAAAAGUUGCAUAUAGAAUAUCUUGCUUUAUGCAACAAUAGGGACUAGGGAGGCUGCUGUUCAUGAUGCUUGGCAACCUAGCAACUCAUGUCGAAGUUGAUCGAAAAAUUGGAGUUUAUGGCUACAAUAUUCAGGCCUUUCUCACCUCUUGCAACACACCAACCCGCCUUCCAGUUUCUUAUUCAUCAACUGCCACUUCAAUACAUUUCUAUCUUACAAAGCAUAGAUCAAGAGUUGAAAGUACACACUCGAGUUUCCAGGAUAGGGCUUCCAGUCACCUGUUAACCUUCCAUUCCUUGCUUGACAUUACCAAGUAGAUGGUGUUUGGAGGGGAAAAAGAGCAGAUCCUGGUGCUACAAAAGCUCAAUGCUAUUGGUAUAGAUCUCGACAGUUUAGAUGGCCAGCAUUGAAUGAAAGCUCAUGCAGAGCAUUCCUGAUGACGUGGAAGGUCUCUGUAGAAGAGGAGCAGCAGCAUGAAACAGGGCCAUGGAGUUAAAAAGAGGGAGAGAUAUGGGAGUAAGGCGAGAUGGCAGUAACAUUUAAAAGGCAAGUGUUUUUUUUUUUCUCAUCUUCUUUGGGGAGAGAGAGAGAGAGAGAGGUGUUAGGGAGAAGAGGGAAGUGUUUUUUUUCUCGUUUUCUCAUUUUCCAUGCUACCACCAUAAUGUGGACCGCAGAAGUUCAUUUAGUGCAAAAUAAAGAUAUUUAAUUGAUUCACUGGAGUUACAAAAUUAAUAAAUUCCUCUUCCCAAGGUUCUCUUCCUUGUUCAAAAGUCUAACCUUUGAAAUGUGGCAAUUGCUUGGUUAUGCUUGAUGGAACCUUCCUCUUUCCAAAGGUCCCCUCAGGGGCAGACAAGCUCUUUUAAUGGGCACUCUCAGAGUCACAGCUCUGAAAUUAGGACUCACAUGCUGCAUGUUAAAAAUAAUAACCAAUGCACAUGGCCUUCACUUCAAUCAAUGCCUCUUGCCCUUAAAAGCUCUACUAUAAAACCGCUUGAACUUUAGACAGGGGGAAGAGAAUAAGCUUUUCUUAUGUGCAGUUAACAGAGAUUAGAGAUCUUUCCUCCAUGGCUGAGCUCACCAAGCAGAUGAAGAGCAGCUUCAUCCCCGCAGCUGAAGGCAUCAAAGGUGGCAACAAUGGCAACCCUCAAGAUAAAGCCACCGAAGAUACAGAUAAAGCCAAGUUGAGAACUGUGCAGGAUAGAGGGAUCCAAGUAGCAGCGGUACGUGGCGCAAAGCUCCCAGCUCCAACAAAAGGACCUCCCCCACAGACUAAUUGAGUAGUAUGGAAGAAUGGGUCAUAUCAUUAGCGGCUUCCUCCUGAUCUUUUACUCUGGAAUCUGGUUGUUUCGUUUGCCGGGUUGCCUUAAGCAUGAAGACUUCAUACUGCUGUUUUUUUAUGUUACAAAAUGAUCAGUAUUUUAAAUCUUUGGUAGAGGAGUGUCUCAUAUCUGAAUAUUAGCUACGAAACAUGUUUUAAGCCAUUUACUGUCAUCUUUAAUAUGUAAUAAAGUGCAGUUAAUCGAUGCAAACAUAUAAAACAUGAGCAUUUGUGAUAAAAAGACACUGCUCUGUCUGUGCUCUAUAGGAUGCUUGCCUGCUUUUCAUUUGGUUGGAUUAAUCUUCUCUAAAGCCAUUAAUUAUUGUAGAUCUAAUCAACUUUUUGCAUGACAAGAUGUUCAUAUCUUCUCUAUUCUCUGUAGCUUGAGACCCCUCUUCUCUUUUCCUUUUGCUUUCUUUUGGUUCCCAUCUUUUGUAUAAUUUCACUCUAUCAAUGAAAUGGUUGGCUUCUUGCCACCCAGUUUCUUUGAAUCAAACAUACAGCAAGUUACAUUCUGUGAGGUGGUUGUGGCAAAUAUAUAUAUGUAGUUAAACAUAGCUCAAGCAUACGACAUACCUUGUCAAGCAAGCUGGAUUACAUGCUCCUGCUGCUACUCUGUGAAUCACAACCAGCUCUCCUGACACAUCUACACUGUAUUCCAGUAAGGUGGCAAGUAGAAGAACAACUGGUUUUCUGAAUUUAGGGAAUGUGAAGUUUGUGAUCAGAUCUGAUAAAGGGACAAGGUGGAUUCUAUGAGAUGGUAGUAACCUUAGUGCCAUCCACCUGCUUCAGGCAGUUAGCUGCUACAAGCUUGCAUGCUAGCCGAAAAUGAAUAAUAUUAAUAAUAACAAACAUAUGAACAUAUAUAUCUUUGCACUAGACAUAUAUAUAUAGACACACGCAUACACAUACACGCACACUAUCAAAUCUCAUACCAUCUUUUGGUGCACAAGCUAGACUGAUUGCUUCACAAGUAUUAGCUAGUCUAACAAGGCCAACACAAAACAUGUAUCAUCCUAACAACAUUAAAGACAAUGCAAGACCCUAUUUAAAUUGUUCCACCGAAUCCAAUGGAAGAAAGCAGUCCAUUUGCAUGCAUCUCAACCAAGGGAAGAAAAAUUGGAUUUAGAUAAUAUAAUGAGCCUAGACCUAACCACGGUCCGGUUCUAACCGAGGAACCGGAUCGGAACCGAACCGGAAAGAACCGGACCGGAACCGGAACCGUGUCUCACGGUUCUUAACCGAACCGGAACCUUGAGGAAUACGGUUCGGUUAAGGUUCCAGAUUUGAUGGAACCGAACCGGAGCCUAAUUUUUUUUAUUUAUAAUAAAAUAAAUUAGUUCCAAAUUUAUUAUUUUUUUAUAAUAUUAUCUAGUUGUAUUAUUAAAAUUUACUUUGAUAGUAAAUAAUAAAAUGAGGUACAAAUUAUCAUUUUGUAUUAAUUAUACAAUCUAUUUGUAUUUAUAAUUUUUUUCCAAAUUAAUUACACAAUCUAUUUUUUUUCAAAAUUUUAUAAUUUAUGUUGAAAAAUCGGAAUCGAAACUAUUUAGAACUGGAACCGGAACCGGCGGUUCUAGAACCAGAACCGAACGGACUAUUUUCGGUUACGGUUAAGGUUCUAGAUUUUUGUGAAACCGGAAUCGGCAGUUACAGAAUCGUGAUCAGAUCUAAAUGAGCCCCCUCUUAGGAGGAAUAUAAAGACUUCUAAAUUAUCCAUACCAGUUUGCGGAGAGAAUGCACAAAAGAAGCUAGUGGAAUGAUUUCAUCAAGAAGUAGGGCUCCUCCCAUCAAAAAGACACACAUGGAGUGUGGUACCACAAAGAUAAAGAGCCAUGGGAUGAUGGUGGUGAUCAGAACUGACCAAAUACAGUGCCUGCCUUUUUUUUUUUUACUUUACUUUUCUUUUAUAGUGCUUGUACUGUCUGCUGCUGACACACGACCAGACCUUCACACCUUUCCUUCGUGUGGUCUUCUUCACGCAACAGUGCAGUGCUCAUGGUCUCAAGCUUUUGUUUGAUUACUGUUAACCCACCAAAGCUAGUCUCUAUAUAAACCCAACUAAAUGGAGAGACCAUAUAGAAUAAGAGAAUAUAAAAAUCAUUACUGCAAAGAACGGACCAUUUGGUAAGCUCUCUCCAUGGCCGAGGUAGCUCAACAGCUGAAGGUUAAGCUCUCCAACCUUGUUCAACGCGUCACAAGCUUCAAAUUUGGCAGCUCCAAAGAAGAAAAAGAAAACUUGGGCGAAGGGGAUGCUAAAGUGGGAUCUACCAUAGUGCAGAGUAGAGCUGCUGAAAUUGAUGGUUCCGCAAGAACUCCACCCGUAUCCGGAGGCCCUCCGCCGAAGCACAACUGACGAGCAUUUGGUUUCAGCAAGAUGGUUGCAAUGUCUCAUGCUAACUUUGAUGCUUUGGGUCUUAGCUUAUUAGAUGUUAAGUAAGAUAUGCUUUUCGUUUGCUUUGUUUUCGUUUUUCUUUCUCUUGUUUACUUGUGAUCGUGUCCUUUUCUGUUACCCCUUUGUAUAUAUGGUCUGCAUUGUGAGGAAGUUAAAUUAAUGGUGGCUUGGAUCUAUAAUAAUUUGUCCUAAAUGUUUCACUUGUUAUGCAGUGAAACUCUC